GCCCUCAUCGUCUAGAGGCUAGGACACCGCCCUCUCACGGCGGAAACCGGGGUUCAAUUCCCCGUGGGGGUA
rnacentral:tRNA from 1 species